UAGUUCGUGGAGUGAUCUGUCUGCUUAAUUGCGUUUCAAAAUUUAACUUGAGGACCGGGUUUUGGUUUGGCUAGUGGUUCUACGAUGACUGUGAACUGUCAUGUCUUCGGAUGUGCGACUAUUGGUCUAGGAUCACAUGACUUGCCCCUGGGACUCUUUUGAACGCAACGGACGUGAUUGCAACCCCUUGUUGAGAUUAGAGAUAGUCUCGAUAUUCACUGGACAAACUGGCUGCUUUAUGCAGUCUUGUUGAAUGGUGGAUAAACUCGGGGGACUGCUGACUAUAACCAUUUCUCAAAACAGAGGAAGGUUGCGGCAAUAACAGGUCUGUGAUGCCCUCAGAUGUCCCGGGCUGCACACGUGCUACAAUGAGUGGCGCAAUGUGCUAAUGUUUAAGGGAUAAGAGUGUGGUCAGUAGAACGUCGGGAUUUCCCCUGACGUCUCCCCCGCACGAUUAUCAGCCUUCCCUUAACAGGGCGGGCAACCUUUUCAAAAUACUGGUUUGAUGUUAAAGUAUUGAGUCGUUUUUUUUGGAUGGUGGUUUGUUAACCAAUACCAUCCGGCAACUGCUCGCGAGUUUGUGGUUCUGGCGACUCA
rnacentral:rRNA from 1 species